AAAGAUCUUCUGUCAAAUGUUCAUGUUCCUUGGUGCCCCUUAUGCACCGUGGAUGCUUGAGCAUGUGCUAUUGUGUCUA
rnacentral:pre_miRNA from 10 species